rnacentral:rRNA from 1 species
UACGUAGGGGGCAAGCGUUGUCCGGAUUCAUUGGGCGUAAAGAGCGUGUAGGCGGCCAGGUAGGUCGGUUGUGAAAACUGGAGGCUCAACCUUCAGAGGUCGACCGAAACCAUCUGGCUAGAGUCCGGGAGAGGAGAGUGGAAUUCCUGGUGUAGCGGUGAAAUGCGCAGAUAUCAGGAGGAACACCAGCGGCGAAGGCGGCGCUCUGGGCUGGAACUGACGCUGAGGAGCGAAAGCGUGGGGAGCAAACAGG